rnacentral:rRNA from 1 species
CACUCCUACGGGAGGCAGCAGUGGGGAAUAUUGCACAAUGGGCGCAAGCCUGAUGCAGCCAUGCCGCGUGUAUGAAGAAGGCCUUCGGGUUGUAAAGUACUUUCAGCGGGGAGGAAGGUGUUGAGGUUAAUAACCUCAGCAAUUGACGUUACCCGCAGAAGAAGCACCGGCUAACUCCGUGCCAGCAGCCGCGGUAAUACGGAGGGUGCAAGCGUUAAUCGGAAUUACUGGGCGUAAAGCGCACGCAGGCGGUCUGUCAAGUCGGAUGUGAAAUCCCCGGGCUCAACCUGGGAACUGCAUUCGAAACUGGCAGGCUAGAGUCUUGUAGAGGGGGGUAGAAUUCCAGGUGUAGCGGUGAAAUGCGUAGAGAUCUGGAGGAAUACCGGUGGCGAAGGCGGCCCCCUGGACAAAGACUGACGCUCAGGUGCGAAAGCGUGGGGAGCAAACAGGAUUAGAAACCCCAGUAGUCCC